rnacentral:rRNA from 1 species
AGUGGCGGACGGGUGAGUAACGCGUGAGAAUCUGCCUUGGGGUCGGGGACAACCACUGGAAACGGUGGCUAAUACCGGAUAAGCCGAUUGGUGAAAGAUUUAUUGCCCGAAGAGGAGCUCGCGUCUGAUUAGCUAGUUGGUGAGGUAAGAGCUCACCAAGGCAGCGAUCAGUAGCUGGUCUGAGAGGACGAUCAGCCACACUGGGACUGAGACACGGCCCAGACUCCUACGGGAGGCAGCAGUGGGGAAUUUUCCGCAAUGGGCGAAAGCCUGACGGAGCAAGACCGCGUGAGGGAGGAAGGCUCUUGGGUUGUAAACCUCUUUUCUCAGGGAAGAAGCUCUGACGGUACCUGAGGAAUCAGUCUCGGCUAACUCCGUGCCAGCAGCCGCGGUAAUACGGAGGAGGCAAGCGUUAUCCGGAAUUAUUGGGCGUAAAGCGUCCGCAGGUGGCGAUUCAAGUCUGCUGUCAAAGCACGGGGCUUAACUCCGUAAAGGCAGUGGAAACUGAAUAGCUAGAGUGCCGUAGGGGUAGAGGGAAUUCCCGGUGUAGCGGUGAAAUGCGUAGAGAUCGGGAAGAACAUCGGUGGCGAAAGCGCUCUACUGGACGGCAACUGACACUCAGGGACGAAAGCUAGGGGAGCGAAUGGGAUUAGAUACCCC